rnacentral:snoRNA from 1 species
CCAUGUGGAUAUCCUGGGAGGUCACUCUCCCCAGGCUCUCUCCUAUGCCUUCGGGAGCAUAGGACUCUGCCCAGUGAUGUCCCUUUCUAUGGGGCUGAAGAUACAGCUGGACCUUGAGUCUGUGCCUGCCUAUUCCUAUGACUUCUCAGAGUCCUGUGGACAAUGAUUGAGGAAACAAACAAUAUAGGAAGCAGCC